GACCGAGAGUUCAAGAGUACGUGAAACCGUUUGCAAGUAAACAGAUGGACCCACGAAGUCCUGUUGAGUAAGAGAUUCAUAUACUUCAGGAGGCUUAUAGUUAUUUAGUUUCACUUUUAUCAAGUGACUAGAUGAUUAUUACUGUCAACUGAAUGAUGCAUUUCUCUUGCUCACGUUGGAGCUCUGACUGCUCAUUAAAUGUUAAAUUUGCUUGACUAAGUGAUGUAGACCUUCGGGCUCUAAACUUACUUUAGUUGGGUGUAAAAUUUACAUUACGAUGAGUAGGUGAAUUACUUACAAUUGUAAGUGUAUUCAGAUCAUUAGUACCGUAAAGAUACUAAUUGUUGUUGUAUAGCGUUCUUUCAAGACUUGUGCUUGAAGACUUUAUACAUGGAGCAAUUACAAGUGUUUUUAUCGAUGCUUAAUGAUGAUCCAGAGUAAGUAGGUCGGUCAUCCAUCUGACCCGUCUUGAAACACGGACCAAGGAGCCCAACAUAUAUGCGAGUCGCACAGUCUUGCAUAGGCUUGUGAGGCGAAAUAAACAUAAUGGUGUGACCAUAAGCAUCUCAAUGUUGAUGAGCAACACCAACCUGUUCAUACUAUUUAUUUAGUUGAACGGCGUUUGAGCAUACAUGUUGGUACCCGAAAGAUGGUGAACUAUACUUGGGCAAGACGAAGCCAGAGGAAACUCUGGUGGAGGUCUGUAGCGAUUCUGACGUGCAAAUCGAUCGUCAGACCUGAGUAUA
rnacentral:rRNA from 1 species